rnacentral:rRNA from 1 species
CUACGGGGCGCACCAGUGAGGAAUAUUGCACAAUGGGGGGAACCCUGAUGCAGCAACGCCGCGUGGAGGAUGACGCAUUUCGGUGUGUAAACUCCUUUUAUAUGUCAAGAAAAUGACGGUAGCAUAUGAAUAAGCACCGGCUGACUCCGUGCCAGCAGCCGCGGUAAUACGGAGGGUGCAAGCGUUACUCGGAAUCACUGGGCGUAAAGGACGCGUAGGCGGGUUGGAAAGUCAGGUGUGAAAUCCUACAGCUUAACUGUAGAACUGCACUUGAAACUUCUAAUCUAGAGUAUGGGAGGGGGAGAUGGAAUUAGUGGUGUAGGGGUAAAAUCCGUAGAUAUCACUAGGAAUACCUAAAGCGAAGGCGAUCUCCUGGAACAUUACUGACGCUAAGGCGUGAAAGCGUGGGGAGCAAACAGGAUUAGAUACCCCAGUACUC